GGGCACUAGGUGUGGGGGACAUUCCACGUUUUCCGCGCCGUAGCUAACGCAUUAAGUGCCCCGCCUGGGGAGUACGGCCGCAAGGCUAAAACUCAAAGGAAUUGACGGGGGCCCGCACAAGCGGCGGAGCAUGCGGAUUAAUUCGAUGCAACGCGAAGAACCUUACCAAGGCUUGACAUGUGCCAGACCGCUCCAGAGAUGGGGUUUCCCUUCGGGGCUGGUUCACAGGUGGUGCAUGGUUGUCGUCAGCUCGUGUCGUGAGAUGUUGGGUUAAGUCCCGCAACGAGCGCAACCCUCGUUCCAUGUUGCCAGCACGUAGUGGUGGGGACUCAUGGGAGACUGCCGGGGUCAACUCGGAGGAAGGUGGGGAUGACGUCAAAUCAUCAUGCCCCUUAUGUCUUGGGCUUCACGCAUGCUACAAUGGCCGGUACAAUGGGUUGCGAUACUGUGAGGUGGAGCUAAUCCCUAAAAGCCGGUCUCAGUUCGGAUUGGGGUCUGCAACUCGACCCCAUGAAGUCGGAGUCGCUAGUAAUCGCAGAUCAGCAACGUGCGGGAAACU
rnacentral:rRNA from 1 species